rnacentral:lncRNA from 1 species
AAAUUACCUACCACUAAUCUGUAGCAAGCAAGAUUUAUUCUUUGUUCUAAUCUUUUAUUCUACACUUUCCAUAAUAAACUUAAUCACCAAGAGGUUAACAAGCAAGCUUUGACCAUCACUAAUAAAAAGAGAAAAGAAAGCUAUUGCAAGUUCUCAACACCAAAUUUGAUAGAUUUACCCUUUGGUGCAAAAAAUUUACACUUAAACAAGACCCGAUCUAUAACCAUGCUUGCAACAAAUUACAAAUUAAUAUGCAUUAUUAUGUAAAAUUUAUCAAGACAAGAUGAAAAAGUAAAAUCUGGGCAGCCAAAGCUUGUAUGACCCUGAACUAUGGUGAGAAAAUUAAAUUGGAAAACAUUAUAGAAGAGCAUUUUAGAGUUAGCAAAAGAAACUGACAAUGACUAAGUUCGCAUUAGGGCCGAUUCAAUAUUCAUGGACAGAAAUAUUUAUGUUAAUGUCCCAAUACUUCAUAGCAGUAGACACAUGGGAAGAACAUAUUCAGCUAAAAUCAUCAACACAAUUAAAUUCCAAACUAUGAAAACCCAAUAAUACUAUGAUUAACUAGCCAAGAGUUGAUAAAGGAAGUUGAAAAACACAUAAUAAAGAUGAGAAGAGUUCACCUUUUUCCGGGUAGGAACUGAGACAACGAGUUUAACCACGAAGAACUACCACCACUGUGAGCCUGCUUCGAUGGAUUCCGAAAAAUAAAUUAACUUUGAAUUCUAAUAAAGGAGACUCAAACUCUCUGUUUUUUUUUUUUUUACUCUUUCCGGUUGUUUUUUUUUUUUUUAAUCAAUUUUCCUCUAUUUCUCCCCCGUUUUUAGUGAUCAAAAGAGAUGAAUAUAUAGAUGGAAAUUAGGGGGAAAUAGGGUGAAACUUUUCAUUUCAAAUUCAAAUUUCUUGCUCCUUUUCAAUGCCAACAGGGAGCAACUGAGUUUGGCAUGAAAUUUCUCCAAAAUCCCAGAAAAUCCGAGGUAGCAGGGUUGCUGCGUACAGCAGGCUGUUGACAUUUUGGACUGCUGCUGCUAUUGUUGAAAUUAGAAGGGCAAAAGGGGGUGGGGCCGGUUGGUGUAUGUUGUUUUGUUGUUAUAUGUAUUGUGAGUUUGGGGAAUUAAAAGGGUGGGGUGUU